rnacentral:rRNA from 1 species
UGCCUAAUCAAUGAACUUGAUCUUCCAGUACAAAAGCUGAAAUACUACCAUAAGACGAGAAGACCCUGUGGAGCUUCAAACCCACACAUUACCUAAACUAAAAACAAAAAACUAAACUAAUGUGCACUUUUAGUUGGGGCAACUGCGGAGCAAAGUAAAACCUCCAUGGCCCGCACCUGGUAAGUGCACGCCCACAGGCCACCAUGCCACAAACCUAACAAUUGACCCAGCAGCGCUGAUCAUCGAACCAAGUUACCC